rnacentral:rRNA from 2 species
UAAUAAAGGUGGUAUCUUGGUGUGUUUUUAGCAAUAAUGUCCUUUGAAAUGUUUUUUACUUCAUUGUAAUAAAUUAUAUUUAGGAUUUUUACUUUGAGAAAAUUAGAGUGUUUCUAGCAGGCUAAUGCUUUGAAUACUGCAGCAUGGAAUAAUAAAAUAGGAUUUUGGUUCUACAUUAUUGGUUUUAAGAGCUAAAUUAAUGAUUGAUAGGGACAGUUGGGGGCAUUUGUAUUUAACUGUCAGAGGUGAAAUUCUU